UACGGAAGGGGCAAGCGUUGUUCGGAAUCAUUGGGCGUAAAGGGCGCGUAGGUGGUUCUGUAUGUCUACCGUGAAAGCGUACGGCUCAACCGUAUUUUGUCGGUGGAAACUGCAGGACUCGAGGCUGGGAGGGGCUGGUGGAAUUCCCUGUGUAGCGGUGAAAUGCGUAGAGAUGGGGGAGAACACGCGUGGCGAAGGCGGCCAGCUAGACCAGUUCUGACACUGAGGCGCGACAGCGUGGGGAGCAAACAGG
rnacentral:rRNA from 1 species